rnacentral:tRNA from 1 species
CAGAACGUGGCGAAGUCUGGCAUCGCGCCUGGCUGGGGGCCAGGAGAUCGUCGGUUCAAAUCCGACCGUUCUGA